rnacentral:tRNA from 1 species
GCGGAUGUGGCGGAACUGGUAGACGCACCAGAUUUAGGUUCUGGCGCCGCGAGGCGUGGGGGUUCGAGUCCCUUCAUCCGCA